AUUGAACGCUGGCGGCAUGCCUUACACAUGCAAGCCGAACGGUAACAGGUCUUCGGAUGCUGACGAGUGGCGAACGGGUGAGUAAUACAUCGGAACGUGUCCGAUCGUGGGGGAUAACGGAGCGAAAGCUUUGCUAAUACCGCAUACGAUCUACGGAUGAAAGCAGGGGACCGCAAGGCCUUGCGCGGACGGAGCGGCCGAUGGCAGAUUAGGUAGUUGGUGGGAUAAAAGCUUACCAAGCCGACGAUCUGUAGCUGGUCUGAGAGGACGACCAGCCACACUGGGACGGAGACACGGCCCAGACUCCUACGGGAGGCAGCAGUGGGGAAUUUUGGACAAUGGGCGAAAGCCUGAUUCAGCCAUGCCGCGUGCGGGAUGAAGGCCUUCGGGUUGUAAACUGCUUUUGUACGGAACGAAAAGCCUCUUUCUAAUAAAGAGAGGCCAUGACGGUACCGUAAGAAUAAGCACCGGCUAACUACGUGCCAGCAGCCGCCGUAAUAC
rnacentral:rRNA from 1 species